UAAAAAGAAUAAUUAAAAAAAAUUGAUCAAUAAACUUCAAAUUAUUUAAAUAACUUUUUAAACUUUUUAAAAACAAUUACGUACAGUUAAGUCAAUUUUUUCAACUAACAAACUUUUUGAUAUCAGUUACAAAGAUAUUAAAAAAUUAAUUUGCAGUUGAAAUACCAUUGGUAUAUAAAUGUGGCAGUUAGAUAAUGUGACAAAAUAUUUCCGCUUCAAAAUAAGCUGUCCUACAUAUUAAAGUAAUGACAAAUUUAAAUUUGAUGUCACAUCUCCAUCUACAAUGGUAUAUAAAGAAUACACUUUUUACCACACGUCGAUAUGUUAUAAGGUUAAAAUAAUUUAUUUUUGGCAUAAAACAUAUUCAGCUACAAUCUACCAAUAAAUUAAUGUCUAAUUACGCUAAAAACAAAAAUAAAACGAGUUAAAUAUUAAAUAAGUCCAUAAGAGCUAAUGUAUUUGUAGCACCUAUCCGAACACUUGCGGCGAUUGCUGAAAGUUGAAUUAGAGGUUGAAAAGUUAGCCCACAAACGGUGCAUUGCGUUUCCACUCCUUCUUACAGGUCUCCAUAAUAGACACGGUUAAACACAGUAUAGGUAAUAGGUAUUUAGUCCAUUCCGAAGUUGUAGUUUGUUUUGACAUUUCCGUUUUAUUUAACCUAACCUAUGUUUUGUGUUUUAUUGUGUUGUAUACAAGGAGUUGUAUAUUGAAAUUGAAUUGAUUCUUGUUUCAUUGAAUAUAGAGGAGUUGUUCUGUUGCAAGUUGUUCUAGUUUUGUUGUUUUAAAAUCUGCGAAAAACUAUUUAUAGAUAAUGGUGAACUUAAACAAGAAAUGGACAUGCAGUUUGCUGAUUACUUAAUUGUGUACUCACAACACAUAGGAUUUCUCUGACACAGUUUCCAGUACAGAACUGCCACUGGAAUCUCCAGUGGAGUUACAACCGCUCUCACGGACGUCCACAAAUCAAGUUACAAAACUGUUACAUGACUCUAUUGGAGUUGCAACCGCAAUUGGAUAAAAGUGAAAUUCGAAUAAUGCCAGAAAGACUAUAACCGUCCAAAGUGAUAGUGUGAAAUUAAAAUCAAAUGAUUACGUAUAAAUCAUAUUUAUAAUAAUUAUAAAUAGUAGCUGUAUUUUUUAAAUAAACAGAUUUGAUAAGUUA